GUGUACAGAAAGUACGAGAGAAAGCUUCGGUGGUUCUACAUCCGAAAGCUUCAAGACUCUAUUGUAUCCUAAGAGACAGCUGUCGGGAGAACAUCUGCACUGAUGGGACGGAAAUUGUUUUAGGAAAAUUGUAGUACCACACAAACUUCAGACUAUUUUUCAACAAGCAGAUUAAAGCUAAGAAUAUACAGAUAGUGAGCAAUGAAGACCAAUUCAAGUUCGUGCUAUUUUAUGAAAGAUAGAAUUUUUCCUCAUGAACAUUACAGGCCAUGUUUGUUACGCAGAACUGGGCAGGUCAAGACAGGACAUAGUUUCAAUAUGUUUUUUGGAAAGCAAAAAUAGGAGGGGGACAGAUUUGUCCCGUUGGUCAUUUUAUCCCAAAUGAACGGGAUAGAUCUAACCCAUCUAGAGAUUGGGUCACUUUUGUCCGAACGAGCUUUCUUCGAAGCAUUUUUGGUUGCCCCCUUUGAAGCAUCUCUGAUCUCGCAUCUCCAAGCUGACCAUCCCCUUCGAAGCAUCUCUAGCCGGUGAGUUCUUCUUCUUCUUUUGCUUCAUCAAUCUUCCAUCAUCAUCAUCUUCUUUUUCUUUUUUGUCUUUUUACGUCAUUUUUUUAGCUGACAAAUUAUGAAAUUUUUUUGGGAAAUGUCAUUUGUUGAUCUGUAAAAUAAGCUUCGAUCUAUAAAGUUAGGGUUUGAUUUGAUAUUCAAGAGGAAGAAGGCUUGAUUUUGGAGGCUUAAACUAGAGAUAAAGCAUCAGGUGUGGAAGGUAAGUGUUCUAUUUUUGCCUAUCGUUGAUGUGAUGCUUAUCAUGCGUUGGGUAGAUUAAUUCUAUUCGUGAUGUUGGUUGGAGAAUUAGAACUAAUUUGGGUAAUGUUUGUGUGCAAAGAAUUAGAAUUAGAUGAUGGUGAUAGUCGGGUGAUAAUCAUGCGUUGGUGUGAAAGAGGGCUUUAGAGAUCUGAAUCCCAUUGAUCUUGCGAAAGAGGGCUUUGAGUUGGGAUGCUGAUAAGAGAGAAUGUUCCGCUUCUAAAGCAACAAAAAUUUAGAAAAAAAAAAAAAAAAACUCAUCGGAACCCUACACACAAAUAAACAAAGUGGAAGAUUAAAAAACAUAUAAGAAAUGAAGGCUGACCUUGUUCUUUCCUACUUAUGGAAUUGAGAAAUGAUGAAACUUCUUUCUCUCUUUCCUUUAGCUUAUCAUCUUUAGCUGGGUAAAUCUCUCGCUUAAGCCUCAGCUCACCACACGAAUUUUGUAACACUUUUACAUCAGCAUCCAACUUAGAAAUCCUAUUUUGUUUCAUAUGCCUUUCUUUAAUAGCAUUUUCAAAACCAGUUUCAGCAUCUUUCAAUGUAUUGUGCAAAUCAAUAAUUACAGAGGCUGCCAAAUUAGUUGUGCUCUCAAACUGUUUGCUCAUAUGUCGAACUUUUUUGGUAACAAGUAGCAAUAUUUCCACUUCUUUAACAUAUUUGCUGCCAUUAAAACGUAUCCAAUCAAAAUUAGACAGUAAGUUUAAUACAUUUUUUUGCCAAUAAUAGCAAUAUUGUUUCAACCAUGAAUUUUAUUGAUACAUGUUAGUGAUUACACACACACACACACUCUUUUUCUUUUUUCAAUAUUUUCGCCCAUGCAAUUACAUCUUUGUCAAAGUGUUAGCUGUCAUUACUAACAUAAAAAAACUAACAUAAAAAGAAGACUUUUAUUAGCAAAGACUGCUUCUUUGUCAAGGUUGAGUUUUUUUUGCUCUAUCUCACAGAAAGUAGACCCCAUUAAUACCUCAUUGCCGGUGAUGAUAUUAAGCUUAGUUUUUUAAGUGAUUCUUUGUAGUUUUUGUUCUUGCUUAGCCAUUUGGCAUCGAAAGACUUCGAAAACCCAAUCAAAUUGCUUCCUCUGUUUUCUUUUUUUAAUUCUUUUAUCAUAUAAAAAAUGUAAGAAAAUCUUCCUCCUGGAUUUAGGUUCCCUCCUCCUAAUGAAGGACUAAUCCAAUUGUUGUAUAUUUGGGUCACAUGAGGUUGUGUAUGUGAAUUUUUACAAUGCAUAAUUGCAAUAUCUGUUUGUUGUAGCUAUUAGAAACAUUUUAAUUUUUAAAAUGCGUAAUUGAGUAUGUGAGCAUAUUCUAUUUGUUUAUAUUUUAAUUUCUUAACUUAUUAUUCGUUGCAUGUAAAGUCAAAUGGGAAGUUAAUUAAGCAAAGUUAAUGCUCUUUUGCUUUCUUUGUUUGGCUUCUAAAUGCUUUUCUUCACUUUAAAAGAACUGUUAUGUUGGUCAGAUUAGUGCUAGAUUGUCCUUUGGCAAACUCGGAUGCAAAUAAUCAAGUAUGCAAUGUCAAGAAUGUGGGAAAGCUGGAUUUGCAUAUGGAUUUGGACUUGGUUGCAUGAUUUUGCAGGAAGAUGCAAAAUUGACAUUUUGAUCUUUAUUGAGUGUCCUGGAUUGAAUUGCUGUAUUUGCCAAGCUGAAUUUUAUAUCUUAGUUGCCUACUUACCUGUUGGAUAAUCAAUAAUUUAUUUUGCAUUGUCUUUAAAGAAAGAGUUAUCAUA